rnacentral:rRNA from 1 species
UACGGAGGGUGCAAGCGUUAUCCGGAUUCACUGGGUUUAAAGGGUGCGUAGGUGGGCAGGUAAGUCAGUGGUGAAAUCUUCGAGCUUAACUCGGAAACUGCCGUUGAUACUAUCUGUCUUGAAUAUUGUGGAGGUGAGCGGAAUAUGUCAUGUAGCGGUGAAAUGCUUAGAUAUGACAUAGAACACCCAUUGCGAAGGCAGCUCACUACGCAACUAUUGACACUGAGGCACGAAAGCGUGGGGAUCAAACAGG